rnacentral:rRNA from 1 species
GGGUAGUUUGACUGGGGCGGUCUCCUCCUAAAGAGUAACGGAGGAGCACGAAGGUUGGCUAAUCCUGGUCGGACAUCAGGAGGUUAGUGCAAUGGCAUAAGCCAGCUUGACUGCGAGCGUGACGGCGCGAGCAGGUGCGAAAGCAGGUCAUAGUGAUCCGGUGGUUCUGAAUGGAAGGGCCAUCGCUCAACGGAUAAAAGGUACUCCGGGGAUAACAGGCUGAUACCGCCCAAGAGUUCAUAUCGACGGCGGUGUUUGGCACCUCGAUGUCGGCUCAUCACAUCCUGGGGCUGAAGUAGGUCCCAAGGGUAUGGCUGUUCGCCAUUUAAAGUGGUACGCGAGCUGGGUUUAGAACGUCGUGAGACAGUUCGGUCCCUAUCUGCCGUGGGCGCUGGAGAACUGAGGGGGGCUGCUCCUAGUACGAGAGGACCGGAGUGGACGCAUCACUGGUGUUCGGGUUGUCAUGCCAAUGGCACUGCCCGGUAGCUAAAUGCGGAAGAGAUAAGUGCUGAAAGCAUCUAAGCACGAAACUUGCCCCGAGAUGAGUUCUCCCUGACUCCUUGAGGGUCCUGAAGGAACGUUGAAGACGACGACGUUGAUAGGCCGGGUGUGUAAGCGCAGCGAUGCGUUGAGCUAACCGGUACUAAUGAACCGUGAGGCUUAAC